GGAGUUUGGGCCGUCUCUCAGUCCCAAUGUGGCCGUCCGACCUCUCAGUCCGGCUACUGAUCGUCGCCUUGGUGGGCCGUUACCUCACCAACCAGCUAAUCAGACGCGGGUCCAUCCUAUACCAAUAAAUCUUUUCACACAGAAGGAUGCCCUCCCGUGCGCUUAUGCGGUAUUAUCAGUCGUUUCCAACUGCUAUCCCCCAGUAUAGGGCAGGUUGCCCACGCGUUACUCACCCGUCCGCCACUCAGUCAUCUAUCCGCUUUGACCGAAAUCUCCGCAUCAAGAGCUUCGUUCGACUUGCAUGUGUUAGGCACGCCGCCAGCGUUCAUC
rnacentral:rRNA from 1 species